rnacentral:rRNA from 1 species
CCUGGUGGCGAGUGGCGAACGGGUGAGUAAUACAUCGGAACGUACCUUAUCGUGGGGGAUAACGCAGCGAAAGUUGCGCUAAUACCGCAUACGCCCUGAGGGGGAAAGCGGGGGACCGUAAGGCCUCGCGCGAUUGGAGCGGCCGAUAUCAGAUUAGGUAGUUGGUAGGGUAAAGGCCUACCAAGCCAACGAUCUGUAGCUGGUCUGAGAGGACGACCAGCCACACUGGAACUGAGACACGGUCCAGACUCCUACGGGAGGCAGCAGUGGGGAAUUUUGGACAAUGGGCGAAAGCCUGAUCCAGCCAUUCCGCGUGCAGGAUGAAGGCCCUCGGGUUGUAAACUGCUUUUGUACAGAACGAAAAGGUUUCUAUUAAUACUAGGAGCUCAUGACGGUACUGUAAGAAUAAGCACCGGCUAACUACGUGCCAGCAGCCGCGGUAAUACGUAGGGUGCAAGCGUUAAUCGGAAUUACUGGGCGUAAAGCGUGCGCAGGCGGUUAUAUAAGUCAGAUGUGAAAUCCCCGGGCUCAACCUGGGAACUGCAUUUGAGACUGUAUAGCUAGAGUACGGUAGAGGGGGAUGGAAUUCCGCGUGUAGCAGUGAAAUGCGUAGAUAUGCGGAGGAACACCGAUGGCGAAGGCAAUCCCCUGGACCUGUACUGACGCUCAUGCACGAAAGCGUGGGGAGCAAACAGGAUUAGAUACCCUGGUAGUCCACGCCCUAAACGAUGUCAACUGGUUGUUGGGUCUUAACUGACUCAGUAAC